GUGGGGAAUAUUGGACAAUGGGCGCAAGCCUGAUCCAGCCAUGCCGCGUGAGUGAUGAAGGCCCUAGGGUUGUAAAGCUCUUUCACCGGUGAAGAUAAUGACGGUAACCGGAGAAGAAGCCCCGGCUAACUUCGUGCCAGCAGCCGCGGUAAUACGAAGGGGGCUAGCGUUGUUCGGAAUUACUGGGCGUAAAGCGCACGUAGGCGGACAUUUAAGUCAGGGGUGAAAUCCCGGGGCUCAACCCCGGAACUGCCUUUGAUACUGGGUGUCUCGAGUCCGGAAGAGGUGAGUGGAAUUCCGGGUGUAGAGGUGAAAUUCGUAGAUAUUCGGAGGAACACCAGUGGCGAAGGCGGCUCACUGGUCCGGUACUGACGCUGAGGUGCGAAAGCGUGGGGAGCAAACAGGAUUAGAAACCCGAGUAGUCC
rnacentral:rRNA from 1 species